GCUUUUCAGCAGAGGCACCAAGAUGGCAUGCUGUUGGGGCAGGGGGAGGUGACUUAUUUCUCAUGCCUAAAGUGGAACAAGUUGAAGAUGUGCUUCCUACCAAGGCUGGCUGCCAUGCCUUCCUGGUAUGAUGGACUCUUAUCUGUCUGGAAAGACUUCUUCCCACCUCAGAGGAUCCCUACUGUUGAAAACAUACUUUAUUCGGAUGACAUCGGAAUACACAGGUGAAUUGUCUGCAAAUAGCUCACAAGUUGUUAAGGAAGACAGUGUGGAUCACGUCAAGGCGGGCAUAGUGG